UCGGGAUAACACCUGGAAACAGAUGCUAAUACCGGAUAACAACAGAUGAUGCCUAUCAACUGUUUAAAAGAUGGUUCUGCUAUCACUCUUGGAUGGACCUGCGGUGCAUUAGCUAGUUGGUAGGGUAACGGCCUACCAAGGCGAUGAUGCAUAGCCGAGUUGAGAGACUGAUCGGCCACAUUGGGACUGAGACACGGCCCAAACUCCUACGGGAGGCAGCAGCC
rnacentral:rRNA from 1 species